rnacentral:lncRNA from 1 species
CUCGCGUCUUCUUGGAAAGAUAAUCAGUAGCAGUGCUGAUUUUCUUUUUAAAAUUAUCAAUGUCAUUUUCAACAGCUGGUGACAAACCAACUCCAAUCACAAUCUGCUCAGCCGAAUCAAAAUAUCUCGACACAUUCCUGAGGUUUUCAGCGGUGAAUUCCGCCUGACUCACAACGUAAUCCAGUGUGUUUGAAGUCGUUCCAUCAAACUUCCCCUGACUAAUGUACAAGACAAUGCAUCCAGCUCUAAAAGAUUUUCUUUUUAACAUUAUCAAUGUCAUUUUCAACAGCUGGUGACAAACCAACUCCAAUCACAAUCUGCUCAGCCGAAUCAAAAUAUCUCGACACAUUCCUGAGGUUUUCAGCGGUGAAUUCCGCCUGACUCACAACGUAAUCCAGUGUGUUUGAAGUCGUUCCAUCAAACUUCCCCUGACUAAUGUACAAGACAAUGCAUCCAGCU